rnacentral:rRNA from 1 species
UGGGAAUAUUGGACAAUGGGCGCAAGCCUGGUCCAGCCAUGCCGCGUGAGUGAUGAAGGCCUUAGGGUUGUAAAGCUCUUUCGACGGGGACGAUAAUGACGGUACCCGUAGAAGAAGCCCCGGCUAACUUCGUGCCAGCAGCCGCGGUAAUACGAAGGGGGCUAGCGUUGCUCGGAAUCACUGGGCGUAAAGGGCGCGUAGGCGGACGUUUAAGUCAGAGGUGAAAGCCCAGGGCUCAACCCUGGAAUGGCCUUUGAUACUGGACGUCUUGAGUCUGGUAGAGGUUGGUGGAACUGCGAGUGUAGAGGUGAAAUUCGUAGAUAUUCGCAAGAACACCGGUGGCGAAGGCGGCCAACUGGACCAGAACUGACGCUGAGGCGCGAAAGCGUGGGGAGCAAAACAGGAUUAGAUACCCUGGUAGUCCACGCCGUAAAACGAUGGAUGCUAGCCGUUGGCCGGUUUACCGGUCAGUGGCGCAGCUAACGCGUUAAGCAUCCGCCUGGGGAGUACGGCCGCAAGGUU